rnacentral:rRNA from 1 species
UACGUAGGGUGCGAGCGUUAAUCGGAAUUACUGGGCGUAAAGCGUGCGCAGGCGGUUCGUUAAGUUCGUUGUGAAAGCCCCGGGCUCAACCUGGGAACUGCAAUGGAAACUGGCGGGCUUGAGUGUGGCAGAGGGGGGUGGAAUUCCGCGUGUAGCAGUGAAAUGCGUAGAUAUGCGGAGGAACACCGAUGGCGAAGGCAUCCCCUGGGCCUGCACUGACGCUCAUGCACGAAAGCGUGGGGAGCAAACAG